AGAGUUUGAUCCUGGCUCAGGAUGAACGCUGGCGGCGUGCUUAACACAUGCAAGUCGAGCGAAGCACCUACUUUGGAUUUCUUCGGAAUGACGAGGUUUGUGACUGAGCGGCGGACGGGUGAGUAACGCGUGGGCAACCUGCCUCACACAGGGGGAUAACAGUUAGAAAUGACUGCUAAUACCGCAUAAGACCACGAAACCGCAUGGUUUUGAGGUAAAAACUCCGGUGGUGUGAGAUGGGCCCGCGUCUGAUUAGGUAGUUGGUGCGGUAACGGCGCACCAAGCCGACGAUCAGUAGCCGACCUGAGAGGGUGACCGGCCACAUUGGGACUGAGACACGGCCCAAACUCCUACGGGAGGCAGCAGUGGGGAAUAUUGCACAAUGGGGGGAACCCUGAUGCAGCGACGCCGCGUGAAGGAUGAAGUAUUUCGGUAUGUAAACUUCUAUCAGCAGGGAAGAAAAUGACGGUACCUGACUAAGAAGCCCCGGCUAACUACGUGCCAGCAGCCGCGGU
rnacentral:rRNA from 1 species